ACAGAGAGAGAGAGAGAGGGGAUACAGCAUUACAGUUAGUAUUGAUUUAUAACAAUAAUAUUAACUGACGGCACUCAAUGCGCUUAAUUGGCUUGUUGCUACCCUGGACGUGCUAACAUAGGGAACACUGCAGGUUGCUAACAUAGUGAGCACUGGAGGUUGCUAAUAUAGUAAACACUAGAGAUUGCUAACAUAGUAAACACUAAAGGUUGCUAACAUAGUGAACACUGGUGGUUGCUAACAUGGUGAACGCUAGAGGUUGCUAACAUGGUGAAUGCUAGAGGUGGCUAACAUAGUGAACGCUAGAAGUUGGUAACAUGGUGAACGGUAGAGGUUGCUAACAUAGUGAACGCUAGAGGUGGCUAACAUAGUAAACGCUAGAAGUUGGUAACAUGGUGAACGGUAGAGGUUGCUAACAUAGUGAACGCUAGAGGUGGCUAACAUAGUGAACGCUAGAGGUUGCUAACAUAGUGAACGCUAGAGGUGGCUAACAUAGUAAACGCUAGAAGUUGGUAACAUGGUGAACGGUAGAGGUUGCUAACAUAGUGAACGCUAGAGGUGGCUAACAUAGUGAACGCUAGAGGUUGCUAACAUAGUGAACGCUAGAGGUGGCUAACAUAGUAAACGCUAGAAGUUGGUAACAUGGUGAACGGUAGAGGUUGCUAACAUAGUGAACGCUAGAGGUGGCUAACAUAGUAAACGCUAGAAGUUGGUAACAUGGUGAACGGUAGAGGUUGCUAACAUAGUGAACGCUAGAGGUGGCUAACAUAGUGAACGCUAGAGGUUGCUAACAUAGUGAACGCUAGAGGUGGCUAACAUAGUGAACGCUAGAGGUUGCUAACAUAGUAAACACUUGAGGUUGCUAACAUAGUGAACGCUAGAGGUUGCUAACUUAGUGAACGCUAGAGGUUGCUAACAUAGUAAACGGUAGAGGCUGCUAACAUAGUAAACACUAGAGGUUGCUAACAUAGUAAACGGUAGAGGCUGCUAACAUAGUAAACACUAGAGGUUGCUAACAUAGUAAACGGUAGAGGCUGCUAACAUAGUAAACACUAGAGGUGGCUAACAUAGUAAACACUAGAGGUGGCUAACAUAGUGAACGCUAGAGGUGGCUAACAUAGUAAACGCUAGAAGUUGGUAACAUAGUGAACGCUAGAGGUUGCUAACUUAGUGAACACUAGAGGUUGCUAACAUAGUAAACGGUAGAGGCUGCUAACAUAGUAAACACUAGAGGUUGCUAACAUAGUGAACGCUAGAGGUUGCUAAUGCAGCUGGAAAUUUUCACAGUUCAAAAUGUCCAAUCUGAGCUCAGUUUAUCAGUGUGAUCCCGCUUAUUGGCAGUUCAGUGUAGUGAAUGAUUUCCAUCCAACACCUGUUUA